UACGGGGGGGGCAAGCGUUGUUCGGAAUUACUGGGCGUAAAGCGCGUGUAGGCGGCUUUUCAAGUCGGACGUGAAAGCCCCAGGCUUAACCUGGGAAUUGCGCUCGAUACUGUUGAGCUAGAGUGUGGAAGGGGCUACUGGAAUUCCGCGUGUAGCGGUGAAAUGCGUAGAUAUACGGAGGAACACCAGCGGCGAAGGCGGGUAGCUGGGCCAACACUGACGCUGAGACGCGAAAGCUAGGGGAGCAAACGGG
rnacentral:rRNA from 1 species